rnacentral:rRNA from 1 species
UACAGGGGGUGCAAGCGUUAAUCGGAGUUACUGGGCGUAAAGGGCGCGUAGGCGGUUAGAUAAGUGAGAUGUGAAAUCCCUGGGCUUAACCUAGGAACAGCAUCUUAUACUGUUUGACUGGAGUACUGUAGAGGGUAGUGGAAUUUCCGGUGUAGCGGUGAAAUGCGUAGAGAUCGGAAGGAACACCAGUGGCGAAGGCGGCUACCUGGACAGCACCUGACACUGAGGCACGAAAGCCGGGGGAGCAAACAGG